AGGAGUGCCGUGGGGAGAGGAUGGGAGUGUUAGGGAGUGUUAGGGAGGGGCAGUCAGUAAGGCUGCUUGGAGGAGGUGCUAUGUUAGAAAAACUCUGGAGAAGGGGAAUGAGAGAGUCUCCAGCCAUUUGGGGAAAAAGUCUUCAGGCAGAGGGAGCAGCAAGUGCAAAGGCCCUGGGCCUGGAUGAUGGUUAGAGUGGGCAAGGGGGAGAAAGAGGCAGGGGUAUCUCGUGCAGGGCCUUACAAACCAUGGGGGGGCUUUGAGCCUUACUCUGAGCAAGAUGGGAGGCAUGCAAUGGGAUUUCUGUGUGUCAGGGGUCCCUAGAGGGCUGUUUGUUGCUGGAAGAUUCUGUGGUUGGAUGGCAUCCUGAUGAACGUGGAGCUCAUCUGUCCUUCAGAUGGGAGGCAGCAGCUGCUAUGACUGCUGUCCUGGACACGGUCUCAGCUCUGUGUGUCACUUCCCCUCUCUGGACCUCAUCGUCCCCAGCUGGAGGCUGAGUGGUGAAGGAGAACUGGCUCAUCACCAGCCCCCGUUGAACCACAAGACUUCUUUCUGGGGACCUCUGGACAGCAUGGGUAUUUAGUAUUCUUACCAUCUUUCCCUGCUGCGCUCACGGCGGACAAUGCUCAUCUGUCAUGACACUCUGAGGAUCCCAGACCCAGCUGCAUAAUCAUUCUCAGUCCAACACUCCAGGAACCAAGGGAUCACAAUCCCCUUCUAAGAGGAAUCCAGCAUGUGUCUGGUCUUGGGCAUUCCCUGGUGGGUGAGUAACCCUGUUCUGUCAUCA
rnacentral:lncRNA from 1 species